rnacentral:piRNA from 1 species
UGACUGUUCCCGUUGAUUCCCGUUU